rnacentral:tRNA from 1 species
CGGUGUGCAGGCUGGGGAAGGCGUCCACGCCGAUCGCGGCGGCGCGGAAGGCGGGGCCGGUCACGUCGGCGCCGGUCGCCGCGGCGAGCGCCGGCCA